GACGUAGGGCGCGAGCGUUGUCCGGAUUUAUUGGGCGUAAAGAGCUCGUAGGCGGCUUGUCGCGUCGACUGUGAAAUCCCGCGGCUCAACUGCGGGUCUGCAGUCGAUACGGGCAGGCUAGAGUUCGGUAGGGGAGACUGGAAUUCUCGGUGUAGCGGUGAAAUGCGUAGAUAUCGAGAGGAACACCUGCGGCGAAGGCGGCGCUCUGGGCCGGUACUGACGCUGAGGAGCGAAAGCGUGGGGAGCGAACAGG
rnacentral:rRNA from 1 species